rnacentral:rRNA from 1 species
GACGAACGCUGGCGGCGUGCUUAACACAUGCAAGUCGAACGAUGAAGAAGAGAAACGCGAACUUCGGUUCAAAUUUCACUUCGGAUUAGUGGCAGACGGGUGAGUAACGCGUGAGCAACCUACCUCUUACAAAGGGAUAGCCUCGGGAAACCGUGAUUAAUACCAUAUGACACAUUCAUAAGGCAUCUUAAGAAUGUUAAAGCUACGGCGGUAAGAGAUGGGCUCGCGUCCCAUUAGCUAGUUGGUGAGGUAACGGCCCACCAAGGCGACGAUGGGUAACCGGCCUGAGAGAGUGAACGGUCACAUUGGAACUGAGACACGGUCCAAACUCCUACGGGAGGCAGCAGUGGGGAAUAUUGCACAAUGGAGGGAACUCUGAUGCAGCGACGCCGCGUGAGCGAUGAAGGAAUUCGUUUCGUAAAGCUCUGUUCUAUGGGAAGAAAAGGACUGUACCAUAGGAGAAAGCCACGGCUAAAUACGU